CGCAUUCUUAGCCAAGCAUCUGCUUCUUCAGGGUGUGAAAGGAAUUGGAGUCUUUUUGAUCAAAUUCAUACAACAAGAAGGAAUAGAUUGGAGCAUGAUAGGCUAAGUGAUAUUGUGUAUGUUACAUAUAAUUUGCGUCUUAAAUCCAGGAAUGAAAGAAAAAAAAGAAAGCAAAAGUCGCAAUAUGAUCCAAUCGAUAUUGAAACUAUUGAUAAGGUUGAUUUUUGGGUGACGGAAGAGGUUGUUGAAAAAGAGCCUGAUCUUCCAAGUAAUAUUGAAGACUUGCUUCAUGAGAUUGAUGCUGAUUUAGAUCAAGGUGGUGGUGGUGGUAGUAC